rnacentral:sRNA from 1 species
CAUGCCCCUUAUACGCUGGGCUACACACGUGCUACAAUGGGUAGUACAGAGAGUCGCAAAGCCGUGAGGUGGAGCUAAUCUCAGAAAACUAUUCUUAGUUCGGAUUGUACUCUGCAACUCGAGUACAUGAAGUUGGAAUCGCUAGUAAUCGCGAAUCAGCAAUGUCGCGGUGAAUACGUUCUCGGGUCUUGUACACACCGCCCGUCACACCACGAGAGUUGGUUGCACCUGAAGUAGCAGGCCUAACCGUAAGGAGGGAUGCUCCGAGGGUGUGAUUAGCGAUUGGGGUGAAGUCGUAACAAGGUAUCCGUACGGGAACGUGCGGAUGGAUCACCUCCUUUCUAAGGAGAAUAAGUCUUUCUCUAUUCUAUUGGUAAUGUUCUUUACAUUACUUCUGAACAUUGGAAACUAUAUAGUAGAACAAACAAGAAAACAAAAUUAACUCUAACAAUUUCUUAGAGUUAGCUGUCAAAAAAAAUAGGUUAAAAUAAUUAAGGGCACACAAAGGAUGCCUAGGUAGUAAGAGCCGAUGAAGGACGUGGUAAGCUGCGAUAAGCCUAG